GGAAGGGCUGUAGCUCAGUGGUAGAGCUUCUACCUUGUAUGCAGAAGGUCCCAGGUUCAAUCCCUGGCUUCUCCA